UGCAGCUUUCCUGACGACUGUCGCCUCUGCUGGGAUGAUUGCAGGAUUUGGCUCAACGUUAGCCUUGGCCAAGAAAAAUAGUCCGAGAUAGUUCAACAAGGAUCAGAUGGUGACAGGUGUCCCAGCAGGGUCAGACAGCCAUGGAAGUACAGUCUACAGAGCUCUGGAUCAGAUGGUGACAGGACGGCCGGGGGCAUUCGUAUUGUGCCGCUAGAGGUGAAAUUCUUGGACCGUCGCAAGACGGACGAAAGCAUUUGCCAAGAAUGUUUUCAUUUAUCAAGAACUUUUGACUAGUUUUGUGUAUCUAAUAUCUCAUUGCUUAAAUGUAUGCAUAAAUAAUACCUUAUCGAUGCCCAGUCUUGGUCAUGAUAUGGUUUCAGUUUUCUGUUAAGUGUAUUUUUAAUGUCGCACAUAUUUCUUUUUUAAUUGCAACAUGAAAUCCUGUAGGCGAGACUCUCCUCAAUGUAUUAGUUUGGGGUCUGUGUCCUCUGAGGGAUAGUCCCACAAUCUCCCAGGCCGGCGGAGAUACAAUCUUCGGCAAAAUCAUUCGCAAGGAGAUUCCUGCAAAAAUAUUAUUUGAAGAUGUAGUGCACUAUAUAUGGUGCCCUUUGGGACGCAACCAGUGAGCAGUGAUGUGAGCAGUGAUUCAGUGAAGCCCACCUGGAAUCCCUAUGCCUCCACUAAGGUUGCAGAGGAGCUCCUCUACUUCUCCCUGAGGCUAAUGACUGACAACUGGCAGUUUGAGAGACCCAGCAAAGAGUACAUCCUUGGUUGACCUCUAUGUUGUGAGUGGCUACCUGGUUGAUCCUGCCAGUAGCAUAUGCUUGUCUCAAAGAUUAAGCCAUGCAAGUCUAAGUACACACGGCCGGUACAGUGAAACUGCGAAUGGCUCAUUAAAUCUUCUUUACACUCUCUUUGGAUAAUUCAUUCCAAUCGUUUUAAAGUUAACAGCAGGUAUUUUGCAUGUAAGUUUAAAUUAUGUGUAUGUUUAUUCUAUUACACACUAAAUGCAUACUUUUAAAUUGUGAGCUAAACAUUAAUAAAUGCCUUUCUACAGCUUCAAAAA